CAUGCAGUCGAGCGGAAGGCCCUUCGGGGUACUCGAGCGGCGAACGGGUGAGUAACACGUGAGUAACCUGCCCUAGGCUUUGGGAUAACCCUCGGAAACGGGGGCUAAUACCGAAUAUGACUGCUGGUCGCAUGACUGGUGGUGGAAAGUUUUUCGGCCUGGGAUGGACUCGCGGCCUAUCAGCUUGUUGGUGGGGUAAUGGCCUACCAAGGCGACGACGGGUAGCCGGCCUGAGAGGGCGACCGGCCACACUGGGACUGAGACACGGCCCAGACUCCUACGGGAGGCAGCAGUGGGGAAUAUUGCACAAUGGGCGGAAGCCUGAUGCAGCGACGCCGCGUGAGGGAUGACGGCCUUCGGGUUGUAAACCUCUUUCAGCAGGGACGAAGCGAGAGUGACGGUACCUGCAGAAGAAGCACCGGCCAACUACGUGCCAGCAGCCGCGGUAAGACGUAGGGUGCGAGCGUUGUCCGGAUUUAUUGGGCGUAAAGAGCUCGUAGGCGGCUUGUCGCGUCGACUGUGAAAACCCGCGGCUCAACCGCGGGCUUGCAGCCGAUACGGGCAGGCUAGAGUUCGGUAGGGGAGACUGGAAUUCCUGGUGUAGCGGUGAAAUGCGCAGAUAUCANGAGGAACACCGGUGGCGAANGCGGGUCUCUGGGCCGAUACUGACGCUGAGGAGCGAAAGCGUGGGGAGCGAACAGGAUUAGAU
rnacentral:rRNA from 1 species